rnacentral:rRNA from 1 species
AUCUAUGGCCAUACCACCCUGAACACACCCAAUCUCGUCUGAUCUCAGAAGCUAAGCAGGGUCAGGCCUGGUUAGUACUUGGAUGGGAGAAAAGGCUUUCCCCAGUUAAGGAUACAAGUUUCAAGUACU